AACGUAGGACGCGAGCGUUAUCCGGAGUUACUGGGCGUAAAGGGUGGGCAGGCGGCCGUGUCAGAUGGGUGUGAAAUCUCCCGGCUCAACCGGGAGGGGCCACUCGUGACUGCACGGCUGGAGGGCAGCAGAGGCGCGUGGAAUUCCGGGUGGAGUGGUGAAAUGCGUAGAGAUCCGGAGGAACACCAGAGGCGAAGGCGGCGCGCUGGGCUGCACCUGACGCUGAACCACGAAAGCCUGGGUAGCGAACGGG
rnacentral:rRNA from 1 species